rnacentral:tRNA from 1 species
GCCGACAUAGCUCAGCUGGUUAGAGCAGCCGACUUUUAAUCGCGCGGGUCCGGGGUUCGAGUCCCUGUGUCGGCA